rnacentral:rRNA from 1 species
CCUACGGGAGGCAGCAGUAGGGAAUAUUGCUCAAUGGGGGAAACCCUGAAGCAGCAACGCAGCGUGGAGGAUGAAGGUUUUCGGAUUGUAAACUCCUUUUGUUAGAGAAGAUAAUGACUGUAUCUAACGAAUAAGCACCGGCUAACUCCGUUCCAGCAGGCGCGGUAAUACGGAGGGUGCAAGCGUUACUCGGAAUCACUGGGCGUAAAGAGGGCGUAGGGGGGUUAGCAAGUCAGAUGUGAAAUCCUAUGGCUUAACCAUAGAACUGCAUUUGAAACUGUUAUUCUAGAGUAUGGGAGAGGUAGGUGGAAUUCUUGGUGUAGGGGUAAAAUCCGUAGAGAUCAAGAGGAAUACUCAUUGCGAAGGCGACCUGCUAGAACAUAACUGACGCUGAUGCGCGAAAGCGUGGGGAGCAAACAGGAUUAGAUACCCUAGUAGUC